GACGAACGCUGGCGGCGUGCUUAACACAUGCAAGUCGAACGGAAAGGCCCUGCUUUUGUGGGGUGCCCGAGUGGCGAACGGGUGAGUAACACGUGAGUAACCUGCUCUUGACUUUGGGAUAACUUCAGGAAACUGGGGUUACUACCGUACAGGAGACCCCGUUGCAUUGUGGGGGUUGGAUAUUCUCGGCGGUCGGGGAUGGAUUGGCGGCUUACCAGCUUGUUGGUGGGGUAGUUGCUUACCAAGGCUUUGACGGGUAGCCGGCUUGAGAGGGUGACCGGCGACAUUGGGACUGAGGUACGGACCAGAGUCGUACGGGAGGCAGCAGUGGGAAAUAUUGCACAGUGAGCGGGAGCCUGAUGCAGCGACGCCGCGUGCGGGAUGACGGCCUUCGGGUUGUAAACCGCUUUCGCCUGUGACGAAGCGUGAGUGACGGUAAUGAGUAAAGAAGCACCGGCUAACUACGUG
rnacentral:rRNA from 1 species